GAAAUUGGUGCUCCUCCUGUCUGUCAGAUGAAAAUGGGCUGCAACUGUUUGGCCCACGUCAAACCCACUAAUCAGGUCCAUGUUUUCCUUGUUGAAUGGGAGCUUUGGGGAAUUGCAAGGGGCAGAGGGAGUGGAGGGCCGCAGUCACACAGCAGCAGAGUGUGAGUUGUUUUCAUCUCCCACUUGGCUCCACGUUGAGCUGGUGGACUCUUACAUCUAUGGUAAGAGUCAGCUAGGUGGAAAAAGUAGUUGGUGCCAAAGCUCUCCCACACUGGAGUUUAAAUUGCCUUCGAAGAGGCUGAGCUUUGUGAGCUUCUGAUAAUAAACCUGGCUCUCCCAGGCAGGCCUGGUGAGUUCAGACAGGGAGUUUCCAGACAGAAACACGCCCUGUUUGUUGUUGUUGAUGGUGGUGACAGGUGCCCCAAAUCAAGAGGGUGGACUCCCAGCAGCCAUGUUGAUACCUUGUGACCACACCUCCUUGGCCAUAACUGAUGGAUGGACUCCUGAUGGACAAAUGAUCCAAUCCAAGCCAAUCAACUGUAUUCACUGCCAAUGUACUAAUUAACAACUUUUGAGUUACAAAGAACAGGGGAAAAAAGGUUUUUUUCUCUAAGUUGUUAAAAUGUUCAAAUAUAAUGUGUUACAAAGAUCAAUGUUGUUGUUCAGUUGCUAAGUUGUGCCCAACUUUUGGUGACCCCAUGGACUGCAGCACUUCGGGUUUCCUUCUCCUUCACUGUCUCCAGGAGUUUGCUCAAACUCACAUCCAUCGAGUCGGUGAUGCCAUCCA
ensembl:lncRNA